rnacentral:rRNA from 1 species
UACGAAGGGGGCUAGCGUUGUUCGGAAUCACUGGGCGUAAAGCGCACGUAGGCGGAUUUUUAAGUCAGGGGUGAAAUCCCGAGGCUCAACCUCGGAACUGCCUUUGAUACUGUCGAUCUGGAGUAUGGAAGAGGUGAGUGGAAUUCCGAGUGUAGAGGUGAAAUUCGUAGAUAUUCGGAGGAACACCAGUGGCGAAGGCGGCUCACUGGUCCAUUACUGGCGCUGAGGUGCGAAAGCGUGGGGAGCAAAAGGG